rnacentral:tRNA from 1 species
UGCCCCGGCUCGGACGCCCGGUUUUGAGCAGGGGACUCAUAAUCCCUUGGUUGUAGGUGCGAAUCCUACCGGGCCCA